GGCUCAGGAUGAACGCUGGCGGCGUGCCUAAUACAUGCAAGUCGAGCGAACUGAUUAGAAGCUUGCUUCUAUGACGUUAGCGGCGGACGGGUGAGUAACACGUGGGCAACCUGCCUGUAAGACUGGGAUAACUUCGGGAAACCGAAGCUAAUACCGGAUAGGAUCUUCUCCUUCAUGGGAGAUGAUUGAAAGAUGGUUUCGGCUAUCACUUACAGAUGGGCCCGCGGUGCAUUAGCUAGUUGGUGAGGUAACGGCUCACCAAGGCAACGAUGCAUAGCCGACCUGAGAGGGUGAUCGGCCACACUGGGACUGAGACACGGCCCAGACUCCUACGGGAGGCAGCAGUAGGGAAUCUUCCGCAAUGGACGAAAGUCUGACGGAGCAACGCCGCGUGAGUGAUGAAGGCUUUCGGGUCGUAAAACUCUGUUGUUAGGGAAGAACAAGUACAAGAGUAACUGCUCGUACCUUGACGGUACCUAACCAGAAAGCCACGGCUAACUACGUGCCAGCAGCCGCGGUAAUA
rnacentral:rRNA from 2 species